AUGGGGUCGCAGAACAAAAUGCGAGCUUCCGAGUCAGCCCGUGAGUUGCUGAUGAUGGCCGCUCGGGAGGGCGAUUCGGCGCGAUUGAAUCAUCCUCUGGGCAACCACGAUGCAACUGUGGUUGUGCCCAUGCCUGAAGUCGUCGUCAACAUUGAUGACAUCGACUCCCUCACCGUCAGCAGAGUGGAGGACUCGGUUCUCCAUGUGGUUGCGGCCUCGGCCCGUGGAGACAACGCUGAGUUUCUGGAGAGCGCAAGUGUGAUCCACAGCAAGGCCAAGCACCUCCUAGACGCCAGCAAUAGCAAGGGUGACACGCCCUUGCAUUGCGCAGCCAGAGCUGGGAGGAUCAAAAUGGUCUCUCACAUCAUCUAUCUGGCGACGGCGGAGGAGGGCGGCGACGCAAGGGUGAAGGCUGUGCUGAGAAAGCAGAACAAGAAAGGCGAGACGGCCCUCCAUGAGGCCCUUCGCUUGGCCGACAGGAAGAUGGCCAGGGCAAUGGUUGACACGCUAAUGGAGGUCGAUGCAGAAUUGGCUCGCCUCCCGAUUGCUAAUGGCACCUCGCCAUUGUACCUAGCUGUCUCGCUGGGACGCGAUGAUAUAGCAGAGCUGCUGUAUUCAAAAGACAAGGAGCUGUCCUACUCUGGACCAGAUGGACAAAACGUAUUGCAUGUUGCGGUUCUCAGGAGCCAAGGGAUGACAAACAAGCUACUAGAAUGGAACAUGGACCUCUGCAAACAAGGUGACCAACGCAAUGGAAGUACGCCUCUACACUUUGCAGCAUCAUGUGGGUUUGAUCAAGCGGUCGCAUCACUGAUAAAUGCUGACAAAUAUUCAGCAUAUCGGCCUGACAACACAGGAUCAUUUCCCAUACACGUAGCAAGCAAAGCCAGUGUAGUUCGUGUCUUGUUGGAGAAGUGCCCAGACUGCCUUGAACUACAAGACGCCCAGGGCAGAACCUUCCUCCAUGUUGUCAUCCGUGACAAAAAAGGCACUCUAUUUCGUUUUGUUUCUGGUCUUUUUCGUGCAAGCCAUCAGGUGUUGAGGUUUGCAUCGAUCAUGGAUAUGCAUGACAAUGAAGGUAACACAUGCUUACACCUUGCUGUCCUGGCUGGGAGCGUACCGACUUUACAUUGCUUACUGGGAAACAAGGAAAUCCAGAUGAACUUACCAAAUAAUAAUGGGCAAACUGCACUAGAUCUCGCACUGCACAAAAGGCCCAAAGGCAGUGUUCAUUUUGGGUUGGAUUCGUGGUAUCAGAUACACUCUCUUCUAGUAGCUACUGGUGCCAAAUACGGUGCUCACCUUAAAGAACAUGGCCCUAUACUAAAUGAGAAGGAGGAAGAAGACAAGAUUAACGGUUACACACCAACCAUUGGCAUUGUAUCAGCUCUCCUCGUAACGGUUUCAUUCACAGCAGCUUUCACCGUACCAGGUGGGUACAGAGGCGAAGAUGCUCAACAAAAAGGUGGCACGCCAGUGCUCGCACAGAACUACUCUUUUGUGGUGUUCAUCGUGGCCAACAAUCUAGCAUUGCUUUGCUCCGCCCUUUCCCUUGCAAGCCUCAUGUAUGCUGGAUUUACCAGCAUCGAUCUCAGGAUACGCUCGAAAGCCUUUGUCCUCUCCAUCGUAUUCCUAAACAGCUCAGGCCGAAGUAUGGUGGCUGCAUUUUCAGUUGGCAUAUACGCGGUGUUGGCUCCGGUCGCCCGCGCAGUUGCUCUUAUUACAAUGGCAUGCAGCACUAUCAUGCUGCUUGACAUCGGUUGGUUUGUGUACAUGGCAACUGCAGCACAAUUGGUGCAUUUUAAUAGGCUGCGUAUGAGACAAUGCUUCAGGUUUGCGCUUACAAUGGUAGCCACUCUCCUGGUGUCGCUCUGGCCGUACGCAAUAACUGUCAGUAUCUUAAUAUAUACCAGAAUCUAUGGAAUCCACUGA
rnacentral:rRNA from 1 species